GGGUUUGCUGGCGGCUAAAGUUCGAUGGCCGGACGUCUGGCAGGGCAGGUUGGCUGCUUGGCGAGGCCUCACAUCGCGAGCUUGGUUUGGUACGUGUGUCUGUGUGGCAAGCAGCUGGACUGGACGGAUCAUCAGAGGGGAGCCUGUAACCGCCGGAUGUUUAUCGCCGAUGUAAUAACUCCAAGUGCGGUUGGCAAAAUUGUUUCUCACAUGGCCAUCAAGGCCAUGGACAAAAUGUAAACAAGGCAUGAUGCAUGAUGGCCCAGAGGUGUCAUGAUGGUCCAGGACGACUUCAGGUUCAUAAAAUGCGACUUGAAUCCAUCAAAAUCUACCUCUGCUAUGGUAUUGAGCUCGAUUUACGCAAACACGCUGAACACAGAGGCCAGCAGGCGGCUUGUGGAGUGUGAAUUCAACGUGCAAGAGCAGCAAAAACAGUUUUGUAUGUGAACGGCCGGAGGUCGCAUGAGGCCAAAAGGGUCAGGAUUAUGCGAAUUCAGAAUCCCACUGUAUUCCCAGCCUUGCACAAUCAACCUUGAAGGAAGAGCCUGCAAUGCCUGCAUGGAAUUUUGCAAGUGUCACCUGUUGGGGGCUGACAAUCGGGCCCAGAAUUUCUCAGAGAGAUUCCGAGUCACAUGCAACUGCAGCGCGCCCAUCGUCUGUUCUAAAAAGGCCAAGAAAACAUCAGACUCUGGUAGUCCAACAAUAAGUUCAGUAUUCAACAAAAAUAUAAAAUUUAUUGAAAACUCUUUAUUUUAAAAUCCAAAUUGGUAAAACGUUUUGUAACAAAUCUCAUGGCCCUGAUUUAAAAAGUACCUCUGAUCUCUGAUUAUUGAUAGAAUGUGAUAAAAACGAUAAAAACUAAUAAUUUUUAUAUUUAUGCUUAGGUUAAUUUUCAAAAAUGAGAAAAUCUGCUCAAGUAGGUCUGUGGACUUUCUCAGCGCUAAAAAUUGUGUACAGCGAAUUUUUUAAUAAGUCACUUGUAUUCUAAAUUUUUAAGUCAUUUUAUCACGGGCACGAUUGUGCCUCGUCCAUAAACUCCACAAGUUAUUUAUAGUCAGCAAUAUGUAUUAUGUAACUAUAUGAAUUAAUGGAAUAAGUUGAGAUUUCAAAAAGCACACAAGAAAAGCAGCCAAGCGGAAUUUUUUAUUUGAAAAAAUUUUUAUCACAUUUUUUAGGAGACUAUCAAUUAAAUAUUUGGAAUAAAAUAAAGAUCAAUCAGCAGUUUUGUCUGCGAAACUCUAAAGUUAGGUUAUGAAAAAGUUCAUUUAGCUUUUCGUAAUACAACAUACAACGCCUCUUACAUUUGACCCAAAAAGGUAUUUCUGUUUGCAAGAUGCCUGAAACAGAAAACAAAUAAGGCUGUCAACAUAAACUUUGCUCAAAUCUCAUGAGAAAAGUUUUCUAAAGAUGAUUUUGAAUUUGUCUGGAACAAUGUGCUUAUGAGAUAUGUGUCAUAUUGUCAUCGAUGUCAAAAAUAGAAAAUAUUUAGCUCUUUGUACUUAACCCCUACGGAGGCAAACCAAAUUUGUUCAGCUUUUUUAUAAUUUAACUGGAUAUUAACAUUGUUUCAAUGGAAUAUAAAGGUCUCAGCCAUGGUGUUUUGCGCGGCAGCUGGGCCAUUGACUUAGUUAAAGAAUUCCACAAUUUUUGCAGAAUGAGAAUACUUUUUAAAUAGGGUGGAUUGAAUUUAAAUUCGGCUUUUCCUCGAUGGGUUUUUGUGAGUUUGUAUUGUUUAAGAAAAACAAUAUCCUGCUCUACAUGUUUCGGCUGCGGGCUGCAGCCAUAAUUCAUGAGCUAUGAAAAACAUUUUGACAAAAAUUAGUACAAAAUUAAAUCUUUUUUCAAAAAUAAUUUUUCCUUCAAAUUGACAAUUUUUCGUGAAAAAUUAUUUAAAUUUACUUUUCUUCACAAACAAUAAUUUUUAACCAAAAUUUGACAUUUAAUUCAAAAAAUUUUUCAAAAAACAAAAUAAGUUUUUAUAAUAAUUUUGGUCAGAAUAUUUAAACGUGUGUUUUGAGCGUACCUUUCUCGGCGGUGGCCGAAACAUGUAGAGCAGGAUAUUGUUUUUCUUAAACAAUAAAAACUCACAAAAACCCAUCGAGGAAAAGCCGAAUUUAAAUUCAAUCCACCAUGCAUCAACCCUCAAUCGUGAACUUCUACUACAAAACUUUUUAAAUAGUUUGGAAUAGAUCUUAAAAAAUUUGAUUUUUUUUAUCUCCUUCAGGGCAAGGCAAAUGAUCAUAACUUUUGUCGCCUGGGGGUUAUAGUAAGUUAUUAUGCAAACUAGAACAGGGCAAAAGUAGUAUAUCUUUGGGAUUUAAAAAAAAAAAUCAAGUUAAUUGAGACAAAUUUAUGGUUCUGGUUGGCAUAUUGGGCAUAUUGAGAUGAUAUUAUAAGUUAAUAAGGGUAACCUUACUUGGUCCGAAAGGAAUUCGUUCAAAAUGCCUUUUCAGACCAGACAUCAUCUGAAAUCUGAAAUAUGGAAACGGCCAAAAAAAUCGGAAAACACGCGACUUACUAGGUGAUCGAAGUACACAUGUGCAUUGUGCUAACGUUAAUGAUGAAUUUAAGGGACUUUAAUUACAUAAAUUUAGGCUUCUCAUGCGUAAAUAUUCAUUUAAUUAUUUAAUUUUAAAAGAUAAUUUCGUUUAUUGCAAAUUAAAUCAGUCUUUUUAUUCGAAGUGGCCUCUGAAAAUCCUAAUUUAGCUCCUUCUCAAGACGUUAGUGAAGUUGGCGAUAUCGCCAACAGAUUUUGGCAUUUUUUUAAAAGUGGAGAAGUUGGCAAUAUCACCAACUUUUUUUUAUCUCAAAAAAGGGCUAUCAAAGAAUGCUGAUUGCGUUCUGGGGGAUGCAUUUGGCCUUUUAUAAGUAACCCGUUAUGCAUUAGAUCUCUAGAAGUACAUAAAAUAUGGGUUUUUCGCGAUUUACACCCUCACGGCCGGGUCCAGCCGCUUUCUAUCCCACCCCAACUUACACCCUUGAGACCCUUACAUAAAAAACAACCCUUACAUCGCGGCUGAACCCGGCCUUCUAAUUUA